GGAUAUGAAGGAAUCAGCUGGCGGGUUGAGAAGGACAGUUUAUGAAGUUGAACAGAAAAAGACUCUGGUACCACCUUCAAGCUGCAGUGAGCAUUUGGAGGAACCUGUUUCAAUGCUUAGAGCAGUAACAACAGAAAGCACAACAACAUGUGGAUGGUCACAAUUUGAGAGGGAAUUACACCAACAUAAAAGUUGCAGUGUAGAGAAGAACACAACGUGGCAAACUGUGGAGUAUCCUUCUUCUUAUCCUAGCCAGCUCAUAAACAACAUGACCACAAGAAGUUCAAGUUCAAGAUUCUUAAAUUCUCAAAAGCAGAAUUCAUGGUUUAAACCCAGCAGGAGAUCAGAGAAUGAAACCAAUCUUGAUGAUAAUGAUGAGGAUGAUAAAAUUGAAGAGGUUGAAACCCUUGAGCUAUUUCCACUUUGCAGCAGUGAGGAUUGUAACGGUGUUAAUGGUAGCAAGAAUGACACAAAAGUACCCAUCACAGCCAUAAAUACAAAAUUGAGUCCAAACCAAUUCUUUGAGUUUCUUCCACUGAAGAAUUGAAGGAAACAGCAGCUAACCCAUGUGUGGUUACGAUGAAGCUCUUAAUUGUAUUGCCUUGAAAGUAAGGUGGGUAAUAUGUUUCAGUUUGUUUUUUAGUUGGAAAUUGGCACUGUUCUUUCUGUUCCAAUCGCUCAUUUGUGCAACUGUAGGAUAAGGAUAUGAAAUGGUAAUGUGGGGAUACCUUGCCUAAAAUGCAUUUG
rnacentral:misc_RNA from 1 species